AUUGAACGCUGGCGGCAGGCCUAACACAUGCAAGUCGAGCGGAUGAAGGGAGCUUGCUCCUGGAUUCAGCGGCGGACGGGUGAGUAAUGCCUAUGAAUCUGCCUGGUAGUGGGGGAUAACGUCCGGAAACGGGCGCUAAUACCGCAUACGUCCUGAGGGAGCAAGUGGGGGAUCUUCGGACCUCACGCUAUCAUAUUAGCCUAGGUCGGAUUAGCUAGUUGGUGGGGUAAAGGCCUACCAAGGCGACGAUCCGUAACUGGUCUGAGAGGAUGAUCAGUCACAUUGGAACUGAGAAACGGUACAGACUCCUACGGGAGGCAGCAGUGGGGAAUAUUGGACAAUGGGCGAAAGGCUGAUCCAGCCAAGUCGCGUGUGUGAAGAAGGUCUUAUGAUUGGAAAGCAAUGUAAGUUGGGAGGAAGGGAAGUAAGUUCAUACCUUGCUGUUUUGACGUUACCAACAGAAUAAGCACCGGCUAACUUCGUG
rnacentral:rRNA from 1 species